CAAUACUUACAUUAACUGGGCUGCAAUAACUUAUUUUUCAAAUUGAAUUUCAAGUUCACCUAGGAUUUCUAUCCCAGGAGUGACUUCAGCGGGCUCAAUGGGAUGUUCUUGUUGUGAUGCAUCAUCAACCAAUGAGGAUGGGAUAUUUUUUUGCUGCAUAGUAGGCUCCCAAGGAUUAGAGCCAUCAGCAAAUUGGGUAGGUCUUCGAUUAUGCCCACGUUCAGUCCCUCGCAC
rnacentral:lncRNA from 1 species